rnacentral:rRNA from 1 species
GCGAAGGCAAGCGGAUCUCUUAAAGCUGUUCUCAGUUCGGACUGCAGUCUGCAACUCGACUGCACGAAGCUGGAAUCGCUAGUAAUCGCGGAUCAGCACGCCGCGGUGAAUACGUUCCCGGGCCUUGUACACACCGCCCGUCACACCAUGGAAGUCUGCAAUGCCCGAAGCCGGUGGCCUAACCACUUAUGUGGAAGGAGCCGUCUAAGGCAGGGCAGAUGACUGGGGUGAAGUCGUAACAAGGUACC